rnacentral:misc_RNA from 1 species
GAGCAACACGCUUCAUAACAUAAACAUAUGAAGUCAAGCGAUGAAAUGGUGUUUUGAAUGGAUACCGCCACAACAAUCAACGUCCAAUAUUUGUUUAAUGUCAUUGAUCACAUUCUUACGGGUACAUGGUGGUGUAGGGAGGAUCAUAUUUCAUCCCUUGAGAAACGUCAACAUGGGUAGAACUGGCAUAGUGCUUCUUUUUUUCGUGCAGCAAAGGUGUACGUCCGGUGCUUAGUGGGGAGCUCUGGUUCCGGGUGUGACAAGCGACCGAGCAGGCUGACAACAGCAGUCGCUGAGGUACAGAGAGUUAACGGAAUAUCAGGAAAGACUUGCGAACUGACGGACUCCUGUCUGUGCCAGGCGAACUUCUAUCGUUCAGACAUAACCGAUCACUUGAAGCUUUGCUACGCGAGUGUUGUGCAGAACCAGUGUGCAAUAGAUGCCUCCAGCCCGGCCUGUGACGACACAACGACGAACACGGUGUUCCGGGUGUCAACGUCUGUGACCUGGGUGAACGCCUGCAAGAGCACAGGUUCAGCUCCAGUCCAGUCAAUGAUGACCGUCGCCAUAGUAACAACCCUGGCGGCACUACAGCGACAUCUAUAGAACAACACCGACUACCGACAAUCAAACGUCGGUCUCAGAUUAUGAGAGAAUGUCAGUUUAGAAAGUACUGUUUUCGCCAUGCGUUGAAAUGGCAACCAAUCCUUUGGCCGAGUUAUCUUGGCUUGUCUUAAGAAAUAUAUAUAUAUACAAUAUAACAUCAUAAAUUGUUUCCUGUUGACCACCACAGACAUGUUGACUAGAUUUGCAUAUUAUUAAUAACAUUUAUUGUAUACAUCUACUAACCAAGGUGUUUAGGUGGAAAUUCCCUCGGGUAUUUUAUAAUCAAAACCUAUUGCAUUAACAUUAUGUCAUGCAAGUUUUUAAACUCCUAAAAUAAGGUAUACAUGUUGCUGUUUCAAGGCAUACAGUGCCACAGUAUACUGGUUUGAUAAGAAAUGAUAUGUUUUUAAUCUUCUUUUUGGAAUUUGUGUACACAACAUAGAAUCUGUUAAUAAUUCUAUUUAGUAAUAUAGAGUUAUAUAUUUAUUUAUUUUAUUAGACACGCUCUUUUUCUUUUCAUGUUUAUUCAGUGUUUAGCAAACAUUUGAAUAUGUUUAAUUAAAGUGUUUUUUACCCAAAAUAUACUUUUUUUCAGCAACGAAUUAUUAAUUUUUUGUAUGCAUAAACAGGGCAUGCGUAAAUUGUAAAAUUGGUAAGUUGUGAAUAUAGAAAAUAAAUCAUCAAAAUAUAUGUGUCUUUACUGAAUGUCCAUACAAGUCAAGUAAGAUUUCCUUAGUUCAAUGGGGCGGUGGUUAAAGCGUUCGCUCGUCUCGCCGAAGACCCGGGUUCG